rnacentral:rRNA from 1 species
UACGAAGGGGGCUAGCGUUGCUCGGAAUCACUGGGCGUAAAGGGUGCGUAGGCGGGUCUUUAAGUCAGGGGUGAAAUCCUGGAGCUCAACUCCAGAACUGCCUUUGAUACUGAAGAUCUUGAGUUCGGGAGAGGUGAGUGGAACUGCGAGUGUAGAGGUGAAAUUCGUAGAUAUUCGCAAGAACACCAGUGGCGAAGGCGGCUCACUGGUCCGAUACUGACGCUGAGGCACGAAAGCGUGGGAGCAAACAGGG